rnacentral:lncRNA from 1 species
GAAAGAUGCUCCACAGGUCAAAACACAAGUAGUCAAGAGAUUUGUCCAUCUAAUUCAUCAUACUACUCUGAUCCAAGUGAGACCCACACUGGGUCAGCUCCAUCAAGGAGAAGAACAUUCCACCCACGUUUGGAUUCUGGAAUAUCAUCCUUGCUUCCAUCAGAUUCUUGUAAGUACCUCACUUGGCACAAGAUAGAACAACAUGGCGUUCAAGAAAGUCAACUGCGUUGCCCAAGAGUAAGAGAAGGACCCUCUGAAGAAGAGCAACUUUUCAGACAGGUAGAGUGUGCCUUGCUCCCAAGGAAAAGAGUUCUUGAAAAAAACAAAUGGGAAACAUGGCUACAAGAAAACUGGGAAGACUGCAAGAAAUUGAUGGCAAAAUAUGGAAAUAAAAAAAUUAAGUUGACUUUUAGGAAUGCAGUUUACAAGAGCAAUGCGACCACUGAGAGUGGUAGCAAUGUGUUUUACACCAAAGUUGACUGAUAUUAAAAGUGAAAAUAAAAUAUUCAGUAUCUUUGAAGCACACCAAAUCAUUUUUAGAAUUUGAACAUUUCAUUUCAGGAUUUGGGGGAUCCUUACCAGGUUGAAAAUUUUAACAGAAUUCUUAGAAGACUAAUUCGAGUUGAAACCCCCUGGUUAGUGGAUAAUUCACUGGUGGACUUAAGUGCCAUAAGAUUGCCAAGCAUACCAGAAGAUGUACAGCGUUGGAGAAUGCAGGGAUUUUUAUCAACUAUCAAACUAUAUUUGUGGAAAUUUUGUGCAUAAGUGCCAAAGAUGGCUGACAUCGGACCACAUUCUAUUUAACUCAACUGAAUGACACCAAGCUCUCAUCCUAAAACUUAUAGUUACAUCCACCCUUCUGAAAUAUUUAAUUAUUCUCCAAUACACUGGAGGUAAUAGGUAUAAAAAGAAUGCGCAUGUGCAACUUAGCAUCUCAUAUCUAAUUUUGUGUCCCAAGUUCAUUAUUCCCCUGAAUGUCCCAUGUCUACCAGGUGCAGGAUUAUCUGGAUGGGUCAGUUCAAAACAAUUUCAGGGAAUAAAUUGUGUAGGGGACUCAAUUUUCUGAGACAGAAACAUAAUGUGAAUAACUCCUUUGUUAGAAAAUAAUUUCAGUGACAGAAAGCCUUUCAGUUCAUAAAGAAAACUUACAUAUCAACAAGCCUAGCUCCUCACUAGUCCCAGUGAAUGCUUACAUCAAUCAGCUC